rnacentral:rRNA from 1 species
AUUGAACGCUGGCGGAAUGCUUUACACAUGCAAGUCGAGCGGCAGCGCGGGGCAACCUGGCGGCGAGCGGCGAACGGGUGAGUAAUACAUCGGAACGUACCCAGUUGUGGGGGAUAGCCUGGCGAAAGCCGGAUUAAUACCGCAUACGACCUGAGGGUGAAAGCGGGGGAUCUUCGGACCUCGUGCUAUAGGAGGAGCCUGCGUCGGAUUAGCUAGUUGGUGAGGUAAAGGCUCACCAAGGCGACGAUCCGUAGCUGGUCUGAGAGGAUGAUCAGCCACACCGGAACUGAGACACGGUCCGGACUCCUACGGGAGGCAGCAGUGGGGAAUAUUGCGCAAUGGGCGAAAGCCUGACGCAGCCAUACCGCGUGUGUGAAGAAGGCCUCGGUUGUAAGGUACGACUUACUACGUGGGUAGGGAAAGGAACGUAGGUA